rnacentral:rRNA from 1 species
AGCAGCCGCGGUAAUUCCAGCUCCAAUAGCGUAUAUUAAAGUUGUUGCAGUUAAAAAGCUCGUAGUUGAAUUUCGGGACCAAUAUGUCUGUCGUGCCUUCGGUACGUACGGGUAUAAUUGGUUCCUACCUUCUGAUGAACCUUGAUGCCAUUAAUUUGGUGUCUUGGGGACUCAGGACUGUUACCUUGAAAAAAUUAGAGUGUUUAAAGCAGGCAUGCGCUUGAAUACAUUAGCAUGGAAUAAUGAAAUAGGACGUUCGAUUCUACUUUGUUGGUUUCUAGGAUCGACGUAAUGAUUAAUAGGGGUAGUUGGGGGCAUUAGUAUUCAAUUGUCAGAGGUGAAAUUCUUGGAUUUAUUGAAGACUAACUACUGCGAAAGCAUUUGCCAAGGAUGUUUUCAUUAAUCAAGAACGAAAGUUAGGGGAUCGAAGACGAUCAGAUACCGUCGUAGUCUUAACCAUAAACUAUGCCGACUAGGGAUCGGAUGAUGUUAAUUUUUAAUGACUCAUUCGGCGCCUUAC